rnacentral:rRNA from 1 species
UUAAAUUGAAGAGUUUGAUCAUGGCUCAGAUUGAACGCUGGCGGCAGGCCUAACACAUGCAAGUCGAGCGGAAACGAGUUAUCAGAACCUUCGGGGGACGAUAACGGCGUCGAGCGGCGGACGGGUGAGUAAU